AAAUAUGGAAAUAUGGACUUUUCCCAGCCCAAAUGUUUUUCCAGUCUGAUCUUGGAAGCUAAGCAGGGCCAGCCCUGGUUGAUACUUGGAUGGAGAACCAUACAAAAUAUCAGGUGCUGUAUUUC
rnacentral:rRNA from 11 species